rnacentral:rRNA from 1 species
AUUGAACGCUGGCGGCAUGCCUUACACAUGCAAGUCGAACGGCAGCACGGACUUCGGUCUGGUGGCGAGUGGCGAACGGGUGAGUAAUGUAUCGGAACGUACCUUUCAGUGGGGGAUAACGUAGCGAAAGUUACGCUAAUACCGCAUAUUCUGUGAGCAGGAAAGCAGGGGAUCGAAAGACCUUGCGCUGAUUGAGCGGCCGAUAUCAGAUUAGCUAGUUGGUGGGGUAAAGGCCUACCAAGGCGACGAUCUGUAGCGGGUCUGAGAGGAUGAUCCGCCAACACGGGAACUGAGCAACGGCCCAGCCUCCUAGGGGGGGAAGAGGGGGGGAAUUUUGGAAAAGGGGGGAAACCCUGAUCCAGCCAGGCCGGGGGGGGGAAAAAGGCCUCGGGGUUGUAAAGCUUUUUCGGCCGGGAAAAAAUCGCAUAGGCUAAUACCCUGUGGGGAUGAGGGUACCGGAAUAAGAAGCACCGGCUAACUACGU